CGGACUAGUAUGCAGUCGUACGGGGUAGNAGGAUUCUAGGGGNGAANGGGNGAGAANGGCGNAAGAAAGUCGUUCUUGACGGGNNUANUAUGAGGANACCACUGCUAAUACCCGAUGAGACNGGCCGCGAANGUAAAUUGGCCUGAAAAAGAGCUUGCGUCUGAUUANCUAGUUGGNGGNGUAAAGGCCUACCAAGGGGACGAUCAGUAGCUGGUCNGANAGGAUGAGCAGCCACACUGGGACUGANACACGGCCCAGACUCCUACGGGAGGCAGCAGUGGGGAAUUUUCCGCAAUGGGCGAAAGCCUGACGGAGCAACGCCGCGUGAGGGAGGAAGGUCUUUGGAUUGUAAACCUCUUUUCUCAAGGAAGAAGUUCUGACGGUACUUGAGGAAUCAGCCUCGGCUAACUCCGUGCCAGCAGCCGCGGUAAUACGGGGGAGGCAAGCGUUAUCCGGAAUUAUUGGGCGUAAAGCGUCCGCAGGUGGNCAGCCAAGUCUGCCGUCAAAUCAGGUUGCUUAACGACCUAAAGGCGGUGGAAACUGGCAGACUAGAGAGCAGUAGGGGUAGCAGGAAUUCCCAGUGUAGCGGUGAAAUGCGUAGAGAUUGGGAAGAACAUCGGUGGCGAAAGCGUGCUACUGGGCUGUAUCUGACACUCAGGGACGAAAGCUAGGGGAGCGAAAGGGAUUAGAUACCCCUGUAGUCCUAGCCGUAAACGAUGGAUACUAGGCGUGGCUUGUAUCGACCCGAGCCGUGCCGAAACUAACGCGUUAAGUAUCCCGCCUGGGGAGUACGCACGCAAGUGUGAAACUCAAAGGAAUUGACGGGGCCCGCACAAGCGGUGGAGUAUGUGGUUUAAUUCGAUGCACGCGAAGAACCUUACCAAGACUUGACAUGUCGCGAACCCUGGUGAAACUGGGGGGGNCCUUCGGGAGCGCGAACACAGGUGGGGCAUGGCUGUCGUCACCUCNUGUCGUGAAAUGUUGGGUUAAGUNCCGCGACGAGCGCAACCCUUCGUUCUUAAUUUNCCNCAUUAAGUUGCGGACUCUAAGAAAACUGCCGGUGACAAUCCUGAAGAAGGGGG
rnacentral:rRNA from 1 species